rnacentral:rRNA from 1 species
UACAGAGGUCUCAAGCGUUGUUCGGAUUCAUUGGGCGUAAAGGGUGCGUAGGUGGCGCCAUAAGUCAGGUGUGAAAUCUCGGGGCUUAACUCCGAAACUGCAUUUGAUACUGUGGUGCUUGAGGACUGGAGAGGAGACUGGAAUUUACGGUGUAGCAGUGAAAUGCGUAGAGAUCGUAAGGAAGUCCAGUGGCGAAGGCGGGUCUCUGGACAGUUCCUGACACUGAGGCACGAAGGCCAGGGGAGCAAACGGG